UACGAAGGGGGGCUAGCGUUGCUCGGAAUGACUGGGCGUAAAGGGCGCGUAGGCGGAUGGCACAGUCAGAUGUGAAAUUCCCGGGCUUAACCUGGGGGCUGCAUUUGAUACGUGUGAUCUAGAGUGAGGAAGAGGGUCGUGGAAUUCCCAGUGUAGAGGUGAAAUUCGUAGAUAUUGGGAAGAACACCGGUGGGCGAAGGCGGCGACCUGGUCCUUUACUGACGCUGAGGCGCGAAAGCGUGGGGAGCAAACAGG
rnacentral:rRNA from 1 species